rnacentral:rRNA from 1 species
CGAGCGCAACCCUUGUCCUUAGUUACCAGCACGUUAUGGUGGGCACUCUAAGGAGACUGCCGGUGCAAACCGAGGAAGGUGGGGAUGACGUCAAGUCAUCAUGGCCCUUACGGCCUGGGCUACACACGUGCUACAAUGGUCGGUACAAAGGGUUGCCAAGCCGCGAGGUGGAGCUAAUCCCAUAAAACCGAUCGUAGUCCGGAUCGCAGUCUGCAACUCGACUGCGUGAAGUCGGAAUCGCUAGUAAUCGUGAAUCAGAAUGUCACGGUGAAUACGUUCCCGGGCCUU